rnacentral:snRNA from 1 species
GUGCUUGCUUUGGCAGCACAUAUACUAAAAUUGGAAUAAUACAGAGAUUAUCAUGGCCCUUGCAAAAGGACAACACGCAAAUUCUUGAAACGUUCCAAAUUUUU